rnacentral:rRNA from 1 species
UACGUAGGGGGCUAGCGUUGUCCGGAAUCAUUGGGCGUAAAGCGCGUGUAGGCGGUCCGGUAUGUCCGCUGUGAAAGUCGGGGGCUCAACCCUCGGAUGCCGGUGGAUACUGUCGGGCUUGAGUACGGAAGAGGCGAGUGGAAUUCCUGGUGUAGCGGUGAAAUGCGCAGAUAUCAGGAGGAACACCAAUUGCGAAGGCAGCUUGCUGGGACGGUACUGACGCUGAGGCGCGAAAGCGUGGGGAGCAAACAGG